UAGCCUUGACAUUGAUUGAAUCCAGCAGAGAUGCAGGAGUGCCCUUCGGGGAACAUGAAAAC
rnacentral:rRNA from 1 species